GGGGAAUAUUGGACAAUGGGCGCAAGCCUGAUCCAGCCAUGCCGCGUGGGUGAAGAAGGCCUUCGGGUUGUAAAGCCCUUUUGUUGGGAAAGAAAAGCAGCCGGCUAAUACCCGGUUGUUCUGACGGUACCUGCAGAAGAAGCGCCGGCUAACUACGUGCCAGCAGCCGCGGUAAUACGUAGGGCGCAAGCGUUGUCCGGAAUUAUUGGGCGUAAAGAGCUCGUAGGCGGUUAGUCGCGUCUGCUGUGAAAACUCGAGGACUCAACCUCGGGCUUGCAGUGGGUACGGGCUGACUAGAGUGCGGUAGGGGUGACUGGAAUUCCUGGUGUAGCGGUGGAAUGCGCAGAUAUCAGGAGGAACACCGAUGGCGAAGGCAGGUCACUGGGCCGCAACUGACGCUGAGGAGCGAAAGCAUGGGGAGCGAACA
rnacentral:rRNA from 1 species